rnacentral:rRNA from 1 species
AUUGAACGCUGGCGGCAGGCCUAACACAUGCAAGUCGAGCGGAUGACGGGAGCUUGCUCCUUGAUUCAGCGGCGGACGGGUGAGUAAUGCCUAGGAAUCUGCCUGGUAGUGGGGGACAACGUUUCGAAAGGAACGCUAAUACCGCAUACGCCCUACGGGAGAAAGCAGGGGACCUUCGGGCCUUGCGCUAUCAGAUGAGCCUAGGUCGGAUUAGCUAGUUGGUGGGGUAAUGGCUCACCAAGGCGACGAUCCGUAACUGGUCUGAGAGGAUGAUCAGUCACACUGGAACUGAGACACGGUCCAGACUCCUACGGGAGUCAGCAGUGGGGAAUAUUGGACAAUGGGCGAAAGCCUGAUCCAGCCAUGCCGCGUGUGUGAAGAAGGUCUUCGGAUUGUAAAGCACUUUAAGUUGGGAGGAAGGGCAGUAAGUUAAUACCUCGCUGUUUUGACGUUACCGACAGAAUAAGCACCGGCUAACUCUGUGCCAGCCGCCGCGGUAA